UACCAGCACCCCGAGUGGUCGGGACGAUUAUUGGGCCUAAAGCAUCCGUAGCCGGUUCUACAAGUCUUCCGUUAAAUCCACCUGCUUAACAGAUGGGCUGCGGAGGAUACUAUAGAGCUAGGAGGCGGGAGAGGCAAGCGGUACUUAGUGGGUAGGGGUAAAAUCCGUUGAUCCAUUGAGGACCACCAGUGGCGAAGGCGGCUUGCCAGAACGCGCUCGACGGUGAGGGAUGAAAGCUGGGGGAGCAAACCGG
rnacentral:rRNA from 1 species